AUAUAUAUAGAGAGAGAGAGAGAGAGAGAGCUAGGCUACUAUGCUAUUAAUAGAACCAAGUCAUUUGUGCUACCAAGUUUUUGACCAUUAGAUUAAGAGAUGGAUGGUUAGGAUGAUAUGGGACCUCUAGGGUUGAGUGGGUGGUUGGUUGAAUAGUAUGACCUAACAGGUGAAAAUGAUCAAAAGGGUAGAUCUAACGGUGGAAAACUUGGUAGCACUAAUGCUUCGUGCUAUUAAUAGUAUAGUAGCCGGACUCUAUAGAUAUAUAUAUAUAUAUAUAUAUAUAUAUAUAUAUAUAUAUAUAUAUAUAUAUAGAGAGAGAGAGAGAGAGAGAGAGAGAGAGAGAGAGAGAGAGAGAGAGAGAGAGAGAGAGAGAGGCUGGAAUACUAUUGAUAGCAAAAGGUCCUUUCUGCUAUCAAGUUUUUAAUCCUUGGAUCUAAAAUUGUAGUGUUAGGAUGAUAUUAGUCCCUAUUAUUAAUUAAAGUACUUAAAUAGUACCGUUUGGUUCGGGUAUAAGCAAGAACUAGCUAUUACAGGAAUAGGUACAAGUAUGGGGAUAAGAAAAAUAGUGUUUGGAUGAAAAUUGGGUUGUUCCCGGGGAUAAGAACAAUUUUAGAUAGUUUUAUAUAGAAAAUGGAGGUGUUGAUGGGGAUAACCGAGAACUACUAUUCUCGGGUAAAAAAUUAGCGUUUGGGUAUAAAGGGGGGGAUAAGAGCCUAUUUCUAUCCCUAUCCCCUAACCAAAUGCUGAGUUGAGUGGUCCCCUACGGUUGAGUGGUCUCCACUGGGUUAUAAUAUUUAAUCCAAUGUUUAAAAAUGAUGAAAAGAACUGAUUCAAAGGCUAAAAACUUGACUGCAAAAAAGAUCUUUUGCUAUCAAUAAUAUUCUAGUCCAACUC
rnacentral:lncRNA from 1 species